rnacentral:rRNA from 1 species
CCUGAGUAAAGUGGCGCACGGGUGAGUAACACGUGACUAACCUACCCUUGAGUGGGGAAUAACUUCGGGAAACCGAGGCUAAUACCGCAUAACACCUACGGGUCAAAGGAGCAAUUCGCUUAAGGAGGGGGUCGCGGCAGAUUAGCUAGUUGGCGGGGUAAUGGCCCACCAAGGCUAUGAUCUGUAUCCGGCCUGAGAGGGCGCACGGACACACUGGAACUGAAACACGGUCCAGACUCCUACGGGAGGCAGCAGUGGGGAAUUUUGCGCAAUGGGGGAAACCCUGACGCAGCAACGCCGCGUGGAGGAUGAAGUCUCUUGGGACGUAAACUCCUUUCGAUCGAGACGAUAAUGACGGUACCGAGAGAAGAAGCCCCGGCUAACUUCGUGCCAGCAGCCGCGGUAAUACGAGGGGGGCGAGCGUUGUUCGGAAUUAUUGGGCGUAAAGGGUGCGUAGGCGGUUCGGUAAGUCUUGUGUGAAAUCUUCGGGCUCAACUCGAAGUCUGCACGAGAAACUGCCGGGCUUGAGUGUGGGAGAGGUGAGUGGAAUUUCCGGUGUAGCGGUGAAAUGCGUAGAUAUCGGAAGGAACACCUGUGGCGAAAGCGGCUCACUGGACCACAACUGACGC